rnacentral:tRNA from 1 species
GGUGGCUCAGUGGUAGAGCGCUUGCCUUCAUGCAUGAGACCCUGGGUUCGAUUCCUCAGCACCA